GUUUUGUUUUGUUUUAGAUAGAGUCUCAAUCUGUUGCCCAGGCUGAGGUGCAGUGGUGCGAUCACAGCUCACUGUAGCCUUGAACUCCCAGGCUCAAGCGAUCCUCCCACCUAGGCCUUCUGAGUAAUUGAGACCAUAGAGGGUCUAAAGAGGAGCUACUUUGUCACUCAUCACUCGCUUGAAUAUUCAUCAGCAACAGAAGAGGAAGCUGAUCUGGGGGGUGCCGGUGGUUGUCUACCAUUCGUUCUAGGGACCUGUCUGCGCAAUUGGACUUCCUGCCAUGUCUCAUGGUGCCUCCCUGAUGUCUCCUCACCUGCAACUCCAAAUCCCAGCCACUCUCCGUCUGCAUCCCUCAGCUACAUAGUUCCCUUUCUGGUCCUCUGCAUGAUGAGAUGGGGGAACUGAGGCCCUACGAAGUUAAAUGAUCUGCCAAGUUAUCCCUGAAAGUUUAGGACUGAACAACUCCGGGAAUCUGAAAGAUGAUGCAAAUAAAGAGGAAGACGGACAUAAUCUCGAAGGGAGAGAAAGGAGCUGGGAAUGGGGGAUCAUAUUCUAAUAGCUCAUCAUCACCACAUGAAACAUACAAUGCAGAGUUAUUUGUUGAGUACCUAUUAUGUACCAGGAACUCUUCAAGGGGUGAAGGGAAAGUAUAAAACAAGACAGAAGAUUUCCUUUCUUCCAUGAGGAUAUAAUUCUAGUGGGAGAACCAAUAAGCAAACCAGCAGAAGAAUCUUAGACUGGGAGACGUGCUAAGCUGAGAACUGGGGCAGCCGGUGCCUGGGGAGCUACACUGGAACUGUGAUUGUGAAACCAAUUCAAAGAGGUAGCAUUUACAGUGAGACCUGAAUGACAAGAAGGAGCCAGAUGUGCAGUGAUUCUCCAGGAAGGAGUUCCAGGUAUCGAGAACAGCUGGCAUAAAUGUUUGAAGGUGGGUAUAGCAGCACUAUUCACAAUAGCCAGAAGGUGGAAACAACCCUAACGUCCAUCAGCAGUUGAAUGGAUAAACAAAAUGUGGUAUAUCCAUGCUAUGGAAUAUUAUUCAGCCUUAAAAACAAAUGAAGGACUGAUACAUGAUAAUGUCAGGCCUCCGAGCCCAAGCCAAGCCAUCUCAUCCCCUGUGACUUGCACGUAUACAUCCAGAUGGCCUGAAGUAACUGAAGAUCCACAAAAGAAGUAAAAAUAGCCUGAACUGAUGACAUUCCACCAUUGUGAUUUGUUCCUGCCCCACCCUAACUGAUCAAUGUAGUUUGUAAUCUUCCCACCCUUAAGAAGGUUCUUUGUAAUUCUCCCCACCCUUGAGAAUGUACUUUGUGAGAUCCACCCCUGCCCACAAAACAUUGCUCUUAACUUCACCGCCCAUCCCAAAACCUGUAAGAACUAAUGAUAAUCCAUCUCCCUUCGCUGACUCUUUUCGGACUCAGCCCACCUGCACCCAGGUGAAAUAAACAGCCAUGCUGCUCACACAAAACCUGUUUGGUGGUCUCUUCACACGGACACACAUGAAACUAUGACUUGGAUGAACCUUGAAAACAUUAGGUUAAGUGAAAGAAGCCAGUCACAAAAGAAGCCAGUCACAUACAUAUUGUGUGAUUCCUUUUAUAUGAACUAUCUGGAAUAGAUUAGUCCAUAGAGACAGA
rnacentral:lncRNA from 10 species